rnacentral:lncRNA from 10 species
CGUCGCUCCCCGCCGGCUGCCGUUAGGGCUGGGAGCCGGCUGGGCGCGGGGGUAGUGAGGGUGCCUCUCGCCGUGGCUGCGCGGCGGCCUCGUCCGAGAGGCCGGCGCCGGGGCAGUGACCGGCCCGUGCCCAGCCGCCGCGCAGGGCGCCCGGGGCAGCUGGCCGAGCCCUCGAUGCCUCCCGUCUGACGGAGGCGCCCGGGAAGCGCCGCCCACCUCGGCCCCGCACCCUCGCCGGCCUGCCGGGUCUCCGCCAGCCCUAGCAGACAGAGAGGGGCGCCGGUCCCUAGUCCCCCAGACCUCCAUUCAAGGUCAAAACUUUGCCCAGCUCAGCCUUGCUCGACCCUGGGCAGGGAAGCGCGGACAUCGGCAGAGGGAGCCCGAGGCUCUCCGUGCCCUUCGCGCCGGUCAAGAACUGUGGAAUCUUUCAGAUGAUAUUCUGAUACUUCUGGACCAAGAUUGAAUUUGUUCUUCAUGAAAAAUGUCUGGGACCUUUUAUAUGGACGGGGAAUACCAACGUAGAGAUGGUCAAGAAAAUUUGCGCUCCGACCUAAACCAAGCACGUUGUAUGGUAGUUGGAGAGCUAAAUGUGCGGAUUGGCUGAGUUGGCCAGCUAGAGUUAUUCAAUUAAAAAAAAAUUAAAAACAUCUCUGGAAACAUUGCUCCCAUCAAAUAUUAAAAUGAUAAAAUGUUAAAAAUUUAGGUACUGGAAUGUAUCACGUUUCAAAAUGUGAAAUGAAAGAUACAGGUCAUUAAUAUUAAUGAUUCACUUUUUUCUUUUUUUGAGACAUGGUCUCACUCUGCCACCUAGGCUGCAGUGCAGUAGCACUGCACUGAGCCUUGACCUCUCAGGCUCAAGCUAUCCUCCUUCCGAGCCUCCCAAGUAGCUGAGACCACAGGCAUGUGCCACCAGGCUCGGCUAAUUUUUAAAUAUUUGUGGAGACGGGGUCUUACUAUGUUGCCCGGCCUUGAACUCCUGGGCUCAAGUGAUCCCCCUGCCUCGGGCUCUCAAAAUGCUGGGAUUACAGGCGUGACCCACCGUGCUCAGCCAAUGAUUCACUUUUUAAAGAAAACAGCGUUACUGAGAUAUAAUUCACAUACCAUACACAUCACCCGUUUAAAGUGUACAGUUAAGUGGUUUUGAGUAUAUUCAAAGAAUUGUUCAGCC